CAGGCUCGAGGCGGAAGCGAAGAGCUGCGGCUGUGGUUAGGGAGACCGCAGGGCAGAGUGGCCCCGGGGCAGAGGGGCCGGGGUCUGAGGCGCUUUCUCGGGGACGCGAGGUACCCGGGGGUGGCAGAGGCUUCCGAGGAAAGGCUGCGCGUGACGGUGAGCCCCCGCUUCCUGCCCCGAGGCCGGCAUCCCUGGCGGGACCCGAGGGGCCUGGUGCUAGGCUGGGCUGGGCCGGCCGGGGGCUGCUCGCGGGCCGCUUGCAGUUACCUCCUGGUCCUUCUGGACUGCCAGGAGGAAAUGGUUCUGGGGACGGUGCCUCCAUCUUCCCGCAUCCUCAGUUACAGCGUUACCAUAGCUGCCGUUAAGGCGGGAAACGAUGAACUCGGGCUCCUGACCCCGAGCCACCCCGAGGAAUCGUCUGAGCAUCCCGGGAUGAGGAAGAGGAGUGAAGAACUUAUUUCUGAAGAUAAGAUCUCACCCACCAACGGGUGUUUGAGAACCAGGACAUCACAGGAGCGAACAUAAAGAAGGACAAGUGAAAGUGGG
ensembl:lncRNA